GGAAUUAUGGUUCAAUGGUUAAGAACACUGGCUGCUCUUCCAGAGGUCCUGAGUUCAAUUCCCAGCAACCA
rnacentral:tRNA from 1 species